UUGGGAAGGUUUGGGUGACUUUGGGAGGUUUGAGGUUACUAUGGGAGGUUUUGGUGACUUAUAGAAGGUUUGGGUGACUUUGGGAAGGUUUGGGUGACUUGGGGAAGGUUUGAGGUGACUUUGGGAAGGUUUGGGUGACUUUGGGAGGUUUGGGGUGACUUUGGGAAGGUUUGGGUGACUUGGGGAGGUUUGGGGGGCAGGGGAGCAGCUCGGGGCUGGUUUGGCUGCCUCUCCAUUUGAGGUUUGCUGUUGGUGGUGCUGGCAGCUCGGGGCUGUGCAGGGAUGUUUCACCCUCUGUGUGUUGCAUGUUCAAUGUGUCCUUUGUUAAACGCAGUCAUUACUCCUGAUUGCUGGCCUUGAUGUUAUUAUUAAAGAGUGCACAAACCUCC